UCUUCUCUUGCUCUCUACACAGACAUUGGAUGAAAGCCUGGUUUAAGAAAGGAAACUGUCCUCCACUCUGGAAAACGAGAGCCAAUCAAACUCGAGACAUCGUAUCAAUUCCCGGGACAAGUAAUGAAAAUGAAGCGGGACACCCAGUCGCACUACAGGUACAGGUUAGCAAGCAGGAUCUACAGAAGAUCCCAUGCUGCAAGAAUAAUCAAAAGGAAGGGCUUUUGACACCAUGAGGCAUAAAACAUGUGACCUAUUUAAAGUUAAAGAUUUCAUUUAAAUCCUAAAAACAGACAAAGAGCUUUUGUUGUUUGGAGCAUUAUGACCUGCACACUCACUUCCUGUGAUAUGUAAGUGUUUGAGUCAAAUACCCUCUGUGUUGGAGUGUGUUUCAUACCUAUCGCUUUGUAUUGUGUCAGUGAGCAAACCAUUGCAUCAGAUCCUGUUUUUUUUUUUUUCUUCAAGCGGCUGCUUUUAGCUGCGCAGCGUGAGGUGGAGAUCCAUUCUGGAUGUUUUCUGCAGCUGACUCAUAAAGUGGUGAAUUUCAUCAAUCUCUCUUGAGACUUUCCGGGGUUACUAACAGCUCAAAGGAAGUGGAGGAAGUUACUUCUUUUGGUAGACUGUCAACAUGGCAGACAGGGGAAAGGGCUAUCUUAAUAAAAAUAGCAUAAGCUGCCAAAUCAUAUAAAAUGUCCCUAAAAGUUAAAGUGCAGGCUUCAUUCAUCCACUGCUAUUUUGUGCUAGUUUCACCUCUUAUCAUGUUUCAUCCUUUAACUUCUACUCACCAAUCUAACAUUUUCUUCUUUAAUCUCGUCGUUUCCGUCUUUAUCCAAUUAAAUCCACUCACAUUUCCCUCUUCUGUGUCAUGAGCACCACUAUGAGGAGUCAUGAAGUGGUGACGCUGCAGGUCAAAUGGGCUGGGAAAUCGGUUAAGAGCGCCAUGUUUACAAAAUAUCUAUACAUCAAAACUUUUGCACAAGCGAUGCGUUUACUGUAUCACACAAGUCAGGAUGAUGAUAUUUAGCCCCACCCCCUUCUGUACCACGGCUUGAUUAACAUCAACAUGUGGGGUGCCAGAAUACAUAGUGGUAUAAUUGUGUGUCCUAAUUAUAGAGGAUGUAGAAAAUGGUAAAUGGUGUUGAGCUUGUAUAGUGAUUUUCUAGUCUUCUGACUACUCAAAGUGCUUUUCUACACAUUCUACAUCUACACAUUCACACACUGAUGGUAGAGGCUGCUGUGUAAAAUGUCCAUCAGAAGAAACUAAUCCUAUUCAUACACAUUCACAUGCUUCAGACAAAGCAGCAGGAGCAACUUGAGGUUCAGUGUCUUGCCCACAACGGACAUGUGCAGGAGCUAGGGAUCAAACCCCUGACCUUCCAGUUGAUAGAUGACCAACUCUACCACUGAGCCACAGCCACCAGUCCUCUAAGCUGGCGGCCCCGGCUUCAGUGCGGACCCUCUGCACUCUGCUGCAUGUCAUUCCAUCACUCUCUCUCUCAUACUUGUUUCCUCCUCUAUCCACUGUCCUCUCUUCAAAAGAGGCAGACAAGACUGUAAAAAUCUUCAACAUUAACAUGUGAAGUACGAGAAGUUAAAGCAACACGCUGACCAGUCAGUGGCUGCACACAUACAUAGAACUGUUUUCCUCACUACUGGACCUUCAUUUGGAGGAUAUGUCCCUUCUCUCUCUCUCUUUGCUCAUUUCACAGCAAACCCUUGUUUCCUCAAUUUAAGCCCAAAACGCAGAAAAAAGAAAGAUGUGAUUUAUUUCAGGUUGAUGAAAUAGAGUUUUGAAUGACUUGUCAGGAACAUUUAUUCUCGUCUAACUCAUCUUCACAACUAAAAAAAGGUGUGUAAAUUAACUCGGAGUGAUUUUUCUUUCCAACAUGUCCAUGUGAAAGCGAGACCAUUACCAUUAACUUCUGAAAUAUCCUCAUGUGUCCUUAAAAUGCCACGAGUACAAUCCUGGCUGUGUGAGGUCACUGCAGGACAAAGACAACAUUCAUUAUCCAAUAAAAGGGAUACAGAAAGAGGAGCGGCUUGUGCUUGUUUACAGGGUGAGAGAGUGUGUGCUGCAUGCAAAUGGGGAAUCCCUUGGAAGUGCACUGCCCUCUUCUUUAGACGAGUGUGUGCACCCCCCUCCUCCUCUCCUCUCCUUCCUCAUCUUCAGACGUAAUUAAACCAAAGAAGAAGAACGACAGCUUCCACUCUUAGUGCCGUCUGCGGGGAUAAUUAGAAGCACAAAUAAACAGGGAAGACUGAUACAGCUCAGUUAGAAAAAACAAAAGGGGGGGAGUGAUGGAGGCGGACGGGGAGGGGGUACAGGGGAGGUUGCAGGCUGCUACAGUAUUUAAUAUUCAGAAAUCCUCUGAAAUGGAUUUGGUGAAGCCCCCCCCCCCCCCCCCCCCCCCCCAGGCUCUGUUACAGUGCAGUCAGUCAAACUGCUGGAGCUCAGUCUCCUUAUUUACUCAAGAUGCUGUUGCAUCGUUUGGCCUGUAGGUGGCAAUUUGGUAGCGUGGUGCCACUUUGUACUGAAUGGGUCUACUUUGUUGUGUGUGUGUGUGUGUGUGUGUGUGAUGGUGGGGAGCUUCUGUGUUCAACUCUUAAAUUCCUGCAAAAUCUCAGAAACCAAACAGCACUCUGCAGGAGGAGGUUGACACAUCCAGACUAACAAGAAAUAAUAAAAGACGAAUGGUUUUUCAUCAACAAAUUAAUUGCUCCCUCAAUUUUCAUGCGGAACUGAAAGUUAAUUUACCUUGGUGUGUGUGUGUGUGUGAGAGAGAGGUGUGUGUGUGUCUUCUUUUCAAAGCUGCCAUGUGGGGAUGAUUAGUGGUGGUGGGAUUAUUUAGAAUCCUAAUUGAAAGGCCUGUGUAAAAAAAAACAAAAAACAACAACAAAUAAAAAAACUAAGUGCUCUAUAUUUCCAAUCACACACUUACCCGCUGUGAAAGAGGAAUUCAGGUCUCAGGCAGAGACAGGUCGGCUUUGAUGAAAAAGAAAUAUGGAUGGGAGUUACUGUAUACGGGAGCGCGGCGUCUGAAUGGCAACGCUGGCGCAGCUGCAGGAACAAAGACGCAAUAAUGAAAUCUGACUGUAGUCAAACAGAUUUGAUCAUCAUCGCUCUCGCCGGUUUCCCACCAUGGAGGCUCCUCCUCCUCCUCGAGUGUGCAUGUGUGGUGGAGAUGAACUGAGAGAAUUAUGUAUACGCUUUACCUAGAAAACAAGCCCUCAGUGCAGAACUUUAAGCUGCCUAAGAUAUAUUAAUCAAGAUGCACAUGCUGCUGGAAUUAGCUUCCCUCCACAGACUGCUGAUAAGUGAGAGUAGAUGGAAAUGUAUUAGUAAUGGUGCAAACACAGUUUUCUCCUUCUCUUUAUCGUUACACUUAGCCUUCAUCAAAA